GAAAGGGAGAGUAACGCGUGGGUAUUUACCCUCGGGACUGGGAUAGCUGCGGGAAACUGCAGGUAAUACCAGAUGAUGUCCCCGGACCAAAGGUGUGAUUCCGCCUGAGGAUAAGCCCGCGUCCUAUUAGCUAGUUGGUGAGGUAAUGGCUCACCAAGGCAAUGAUGGGUACUGGGUGUGAGAGCACGACCCAGCUCACUGGGACUGAGACACUGCCCAGACACCUACGGGUGGCUGCAGUCGAGAAUCUUCGGCAAUGGGCGCAAGCCUGACCGAGCGACGCCGCGUGUGGGAUGAAGGCCUUCGGGUUGUAAACCGCUGUCAGAGGGGAGGAAUGGGCGGAGGGUAAUCUCUUCGUUUUGACCUAUCCUCAGAGGAAGUGCGGGCUAAGUUCGUGCCAGCAGCCGCGGUAAGACGAACCGUACGAACGUUAUUCGGAAUCACUGGGCUUAAAGGGUGCGUAGGCGGCGAUGAAAGUUGGGUGUGAAAUCCCUCGGCUCAACCGAGGAACUGCGCCCAAAACUACAUUGCUUGAGGGAGAUAGAGGUGAGCGGAACUUAGGGUGGAGCGGUGAAAUGCGUUGAUAUCCUAAGGAACGCCAGGGGCGAAAGCGGCUCACUGGAUCUCUUCUGACGCUGAGGCACGAAAGCUAGGGUAGCGAACGGGAUUAGAUACCCCGGUAGUCCUAGCCGUAAACGAUGAGUACUAGAUGGAAAGGGUCCUUCCAUAGCCUUUUCAUCGAAGCGAAAGUGUUUAGUACUCCGCCUGGGGAGUAUGGUCGC
rnacentral:rRNA from 1 species